AACAGGAGUAGAAGCGGUCUGUAAUGGAAAUAGCAUUACUGGGCAUUGCUCCAAUA
rfam:Vibrio rumoiensis 1S-45 1S-45_contig_3, whole genome shotgun sequence.